AGUGAACGCUGGCGGUAGGCCUAACACAUGCAAGUCGAACGGCAGCACAGUAAGAGCUUGCUCUUACGGGUGGCGAGUGGCGGACGGGUGAGGAAUACAUCGGAAUCUACUUUUACGUGGGGGAUAACGUAGGGAAACUUACGCUAAUACCGCAUACGACCUACGGGUGAAAGCAGGGGAUCUUCGGACCUUGCGCGACUGAAUGAGCCGAUGUCGGAUUAGCUAGUUGGCGGGGUAAAGGCCCACCAAGGCGACGAUCCGUAGCUGGUCUGAGAGGAUGAUCAGCCACACUGGAACUGAGACACGGUCCAGACUCCUACGGGAGGCAGCAGUGGGGAAUAUUGGACAAUGGGCGCAAGCCUGAUCCAGCCAUACCGCGUGGGUGAAGAAGGCCUUCGGGUUGUAAAGCCCUUUUGUUGGGAAAGAAAAGCAGCAGGUUAAUACCCCGCUGUUCUGACGGUACCCAAAGAAUAAGCACCGGCUAACUUCGUG
rnacentral:rRNA from 1 species